rnacentral:hammerhead_ribozyme from 1 species
AUCCAGCUGACGAGUCAGAAAUAGGACGAAAUGUGCAUCUUGAAU